rnacentral:lncRNA from 1 species
AGCUUGGGCCUUAAGACUUCCACGUCACUGUGACGAGAAGCGCGGUUUUCGUCAUUUUGGUUUAUUUUCGCUUGUCUGUUUUCUCGCUUUUGUGCCCCCUGCGCCAGGAGGACGUCUUAACUGCCACGGAAAGGUUUUCUGCGCUGUCCAGCCCCCGGGAGGGAGACUGAGAAGCUGGCUUCUCUGUUGGGCGGCAUGCUUCUGUGCUGGGAGCCUCAGGCAGCUCCAAAAUAUUGGCGGUCCUUGAUGACCCUAAGUCUGAGUGUAAGGGUCAGUCUUAGUGUCCUCGCUUCGUGGUUACAGAACGGGUAAUUGUCAGCAGCAGGAGCUCAAGAGGAGUGCAAAGCUGUGACGGCCCUUGUUUUCAAAUCUCACCGAACAGCUGGUUGUAGGCGCUGCUUUCUACUAGAUCGGAUCCCGGCCACAUUGCACCUUGAUGUCUACCUCACUCAGAAUGGUAGCCUCAUUGUAGCUGAAGCCCGCACCAGCAUAUUUUUGAGCCUUUGGUUGACAACUGUGCCUGAAGAUCUAGGGGGCACUGUAGUGUCUGCCUGAAGUUUUGCCCAUCUUGAUUGCUUUUCCUGAGAUCUUGCAUCUUAGGUUUCUCCAUACCUUUCAAUUGGAUGGUUUUCUGGUAUAACAAGAGGUUAAGGGACCCAGACAGUCUGUUAAAAUCCCAGAAAGGCGAAAUCAAGAUUUGUCUUCUGGAAGUAGAACAAGAUCUUGAAACCAGUUUCUAACAUUUUGUCUUUCUUGGGUAACUUUUCUGAAGUUUGGAUAAUGCUGUUAUCAUCAGUGACUAGAAGUUAUCAGGUAGAUCAGGGCAACUAGGUAAAUGAGGCCUGACCCACUGAUUUUGUGAGCUAGGAGUGUUUUUACACUGUCAAAUGAUUGGGAAAAGAAAUAAAAAAAUGAGUAUUUCCUGAUAGGUGAAAAUUACAUGGUAUUUAAGUUUUAUUGUUCAUAAUUUGUGUGUGUUCAAUUGAGUUUGGCCCAAAUCAGUCUCCAUGCUGGAAUGAUAAAGUUCUCCCCAGAGUGGCUUCUAUAUAUAUAGUGAACAGUAUCUUGAUAUAUAAACAAAUUUUGUUAUUAGGCAGUUGAGUCUCAGUUGAUUAGCAGUGGGACCUCUGGCCAAUCAAGUUUUUUUUUUCCUCUGUCAUUUUCUUUUCACUUUAAACUAUAAAUAUAGCUUAUACAUGUGCAGUGGGGUAUUCUAUUUGGAACCAGCUUUCAUCUGGAAUGUUGCUUGGUCCUAGAACUUUUUUCAUGCUGAAAUAAGUUUAACUCAUCUCAGAUUUUUAAUAAUUGGAAUGCAACACAUUUAUUUUUAUAUUGUCUUUUACUGAUUUUACUGUACAACAGUAGAGUUGAGUAGUCAUAAGUAUCAUCAUAUGGUUGCAAGGCCUAAAAUAUUUAUUGUUUAGUCUUUUGCAGAAAAAUGUUGCCAUUGAGAUGGAGAAGAAAUGUCUCUGAAGAAGGAUCUGAGGAGUUCCCAGAGAGAAGGAGGAAAUUGACUCUGGACCACUGGGGUUCUUGGUACAUAUAAUAGAAAAUAAUUUAAAC